GACGAACGCUGGCGGCGUGCUUAACACAUGCAAGUCGAACGGAAAGGCCCUGCUUUUGUGGGGUGCUCGAGUGGCGAACGGGUGAGUAACACGUGAGUAACCUGCCCUUGACUUUGGGAUAACUUCAGGAAACUGGGGCUAAUACCGGAUAGGAGCUCCUGCUGCAUGGUGUGGGUUGGAAAGUUUCGGCGGUUGGGGAUGGACUCGCGGCUUAUCAGCUUGUUGGUGGGGUAGUGGCUUACCAAGGCUUUGACGGGUAGCCGGCCUGAGAGGGUGACCGGCCACAUUGGGACUAAGAUACGGCCCAGACUCCUACGGGAGGCAGCAGUGGAGAAUAUGGCACAAUGGGCGGAAGCCUGAUGCAGCAACGCCGCGUGCGGGAGGACGGCCUUCGGGUUGUAAACCGCUUUCGACUGUGACGAAGCGUGAGUGACGGUAAUGGGUAAAGAAGCACCGGCUAAAUACGUG
rnacentral:rRNA from 1 species